rnacentral:lncRNA from 1 species
CUCUGUACCGGUACCCCCCUGUAUAUAGCCUCCACAUUGACUCUGUACCGGUACCCCCUGUAUAUAGCCUCCACAUUGACUCUGUACCGGUACCCCCUGUAUAUAGCCUCCACAUUGACUCUGUACCGGUACCCCCUGUAUAUAGCCUCCACAUUGACUCUGUACCGGUACCCCCUGUAUAUAGCCUCCACAUUGACUCUGUACCGGUACCCCCUGUAUAUAGCCUCCACAUUGACUCUGUACCGGUACCCCCUGUAUAUAGCCUCCACAUUGACUCUCUACCGGUACCCCCUGUAUAUAGCCUCCACACUGACUCUCUACCGUAAUACCCUGUAUAUAUCCUCCACAUUGACUCUCUACCGGUACCCCCUGUAUAUAGCCUCCACAUUGACUCUGUACCGUAAUACCCUGUAUAUAGCCUCCACAUUGACUCUCUACCGGUACCCCCUGUAUAUAGCCUCCACACUGACUCUCUACCGUAAUACCCUGUAUAUAGCCUCCACAUUGACUCUCUACCGGUACCCCCUGUAUAUAGCCUCCACAUUGACUCUCUACCGGUACCCCCUGUAUAUAGCCUCCACAUUGACUCUGUACCGGUACCCCCUGUAUAUAGCCUCCACAUUGACUCUGUACCAGUACCCCCUGUAUAUAGCCUCCACAUUGACUCUGUACCGGUACCCCCUGUAUAUAGCCUCCACAUUGACUCUGUACCGGUACCCCCUGUAUAUAGCCUCCACAUUGACUCUGUACCGGUACCCCCUGUAUAUAGCCUCCACAUUGACUCUGUACCGGUACCCCCUGUAUAUAGCCUCCACAUUGACUCUCUACCGGUACCCCCUGUAUAUAGCCUCCACAUUGACUCUGUACCAUAACCCCCUGUAUAUAGCCUCCACAUUGACUCUGUACCGGUACCCCCUGUAUAUAGCCUCCACAUUGACUCUGUACCGGUACCCCCUGUAUAUAGCCUCCACAUUGACUCUGUACCGGUACCCCCUGUAUAUAGCCUCCACAUUGACUCUGUAA